UACAACUACACAAAUGCAAACCAACAAAUAGUAAAAAAAGACAAGUGUCAUCCUAUAAGCAACUCCACAUAGGAUUUUACCUUUCAUGUUUAGACAAAAAUUUAUCCUCAUUUAGGCAAAGUUUUCAAAUUUGAUCAUGGAGGGAAAAAAUGUGUGAAGAAUUGAUCAAAGGGCCACACAAUUGGGUCGAAAUUGCAAGGCCCAUUGUGUUUAAGCCCAAAACGGACAAAAAAAAAUUGCUGAAAUGAAAAAAACAAAAACGCAGGCACAGUAACGUCCCUUUCAUUUGCUUCAUUGUCUUCUUAUUUCUGUCAUUUUCUUCACACCUUCCCCAAAACACCCAUUUUGGUGAAAAUUGUUUCUCUGCACACAUGUUGUUGGAAUCAAUUUCAAAUUUCAAAUUUCAAAUUCUCCCUCUCUUCAAUCUCAUCCCAUAACUCACUUAGCUAACUUUCUUUCUCAUGUGUUUCAAAUUUCAAUUUCAAUUCUUCUCUCUUCAGCUCUCUCAUCCUCUCUCACAGCAAAAAUCGCUGAAGAUUGUGAACUAAGUUAAAGGUUUCAAAUCUCUUCUCCAAACAAUAUUUCCUGAUUUGUAUUGUGAAUGUUUAAUGUUCUGUUUAUUUUUACAGACAAGUAACGAUGAUUUUGAAUACAAGGAAAAUCAAUUGAAGUGGCAAUGGAAGGAACCGCCAUCAACAAGGACACACCGUCGGAACCGCCAUUAGCAAGGACACAUAGCAUGAACCGGUUCAAGUGAUAGUUUUAUUUACAAGUGAAAUUAUUUGAGUGAGUUGUGUUUUAAAGAAACUUUUUUUUUGCUAUUUUUGAGGGCUAUAAGUGGGCUAUGAUUUGAAUGGGGAGAGGAUGCUAGAGUUGAGAAGUGGAGCUAGAAGGUCCAAGAGGCUUGGAGAUCUUCAGAAUGGUCCAUGACCUGUUGAUCAAGGAGAGAAUUGGGCAGAGCCUUCGCAGGACAGAACUAGCAGGAGAGUUUGAGGUGGAAGAGGAUAGCUUCAUGAAUAUAAUCCUUAGUCAGUACUAUUUUCCCUUUGAAUAUGCAUUGUGGACUUUGAACAACUAUUAAUUGUGUCUUUUUAUGACUAUUUUUUGUGAUGCCUUUAUAAGUGGAUCAAUUAUAGUUUGAUAUUUUUAAUUACUUUUAUUUUGAUUCCUUGAAUUAUUGUCAUUCCUUGAUGGUGAGGUACAUAGCUUGAUUGUAUUUGAAAACUCCUCAUUAUGCGGUUCUUUAAUUCCUUGAUUUCUCUGUUAUUGUUUGUCCAAGUUCACAAACCUAGCGACGACAAAGAUCGAUGAAGCAGAGCACACGACUGCAGCGAAGGUAAGCACUUCAGAUCCAUUUUAGUUUUUGGAUUCCAGAUUUAUUUUCAAUUCAUUUUCGGAUUCCAGAUCUAUUAUAUUUUUGUUCAAUCUAUGGUGAUGUUGCUUCUUACUCUACUGACGUUGUUUAUAUAUAUUUUUUUUUAAUGUUCAAUCAGAUAUUGCCGCUUAUGAAUAUGAGGAAAAUGUAUGUAAUAUAACAGAGUAUUAGCUUUAGUUUGAUGGAUUUGAAGGGAGAUGUUCUCUCUCAUUAUUUGUUAUAUUUCAAACCCAUUUGAUUGAAUAUAGUUAUUGUUAUUUGUAGUGUGCUACAUAUAUAAUUUUAAAUUGGAAUAAGGCUUGCCAUGUAAAAACUUGUGGAACCAUGUAAAAACUUCAACUUGGAAUAGGAUAUUGAUAUUUUGUCACCUACAAGAGGAGUGGUAUAUAAAGAGCAAAUCAUAAACAUCAAGAUCUAGCCAUUCAUGCAUGCACAAAUGAGUUGAUAGUAUGCAUUUUACUGAGUUGAUAGUAUGCAUUUUACAGAGGUAAGCUUUCCCUUUGAUUAGUUAAUAAUGCUGGUAGUAAAACUGAACUUCAACUUUUAUUGGUGCUACUUUUUGUUUUGCAAAUAUAAGUGGAUCACUUAUAGUGUGAUACUUUUUGUUUUGAGAAUUUGUUUUAAGUGACUCAAAGCAAUGGAUGAUAGUAUGCAUGUGCAUUAUUCUUCAAGUAUUUAUAUCUUAAAGACCUGUGAGAAAUAUAUGUAGAUGAAGUAAGUGCAUUAUGGGAGGAUUUAAAUCGAAUUCUACACACUCUACAUUUUUCAAGUUCUAUAAACAAGUAAGUGUCUUCACUCUUUGACUAUGAUUUAAUUUUUUGUUACUUUGUUCGAACUUUUUAGUAAGAAUGUUUAUGUGUUUGCUCUUUUGGACAAACCACAUUGACCUUCUAACUAAUUUGGGUGUGUUUCAUUUUUUAUUGACUCUGAAUUUGUUUGCUGGAUUCUUCUCCCAAUCAUUUUUUUAACACAUUCAUUUUUUUAUUAAGUAUGUUUUGUUUCAAGUUAGCAUAUUUAAGUUAGAGACUACAUGUGGUACAUGUAAGGGAAAUUGGAACUCGAAAAAUUUCAUUGGUAUAGUGUAAACAUUCACGUUGAAAAGGAACAAAGAGUAGUAGGCAAUAGGCAGUACCUGUGGUCUCAUGGUUUGGAUUCUAUUAUACUUUAAUGCAUAAGAACAACUAACUUUUACCGCAAAUUGAAUCCGAUAUAAAUGUCUGACUCAUGGAUGCUGAAGGGAAGGAAUUCCAAAUCAUACCAAUCUAUGGAAACAAUUUUGUAGAAGGAAUUAUAGGUCUUAAAAGUGAAAGUUGUUAAAGAUUUGGUUUUACAUCUAAAGGAGAUUGUGAGCCGAAAUAUCGAUAGGGUUGCAAAAUGGGUUUUUAACUUCCAAAGGAUUUAUCCAUGAUAAUACAAUGUUUAAAAAGGGUUUUAUAUAAUUUAAGUUUACCGUAAUGGUAUUAACUUUCUUUAGUUCAUGAGUUUUUCUCUUAAUGGAAUUUGAAAAAAUUUCUUGAA